rnacentral:lncRNA from 1 species
AUUCAUCUCUCUUGUCUCUUGCUUUCUGUCUUACAAAAAAAGAAGAAGAUAACAAUGGCUGUUGUCGAAGUUUUUGUUGGUGCAAUUCUCACUGUUUUGCUUGAGAAGCUGGCCUCUGGUGAGCUGCUGAAAUUUCUGCGUCGUGUAGGAAUUGAUGCCCAGCUGGAAGAAUGGCGUACAACUUUGUCGAUGAUCCAGGCCGUGCUUACUGAUGCUGAAAACAAGCAAAUAGGAAACGUAGCUGUGAAACAGUGGCUGACCGAUCUGGAAGAUUUGGCUUACGAUCUUGAAGACUUAGUGGAUGAGUUGAAUACCGAAGCUCUGCAGCGCAAAUUAAAAGAAAAUAAAGGCAGCACCAGCAAGGUAAGAAAGUUCAUCCCAAACUGUUGUACUAAUCUUUCUUACAGUGAUUUCAUGUUUGAUCGCGGGAUUGCUUCCAAGUUAAAAGAGAUUAGUGGCCGAUUGGAAGCUCUAUCCAAAAAGAUAAAAAUUUUCAGAUUAGUGGAGAAUGUGAGAGGGAGGUCUUACGAAAGAUUGCCAACAACUUCGCUCGUGGUAGAAUCGGAAGUUUAUGGAAGAGAGAAGGACAAAGAGGAAAUACUCAAAAUUUUACUUGGUGUUAAAUCAGAUGAUAGUCAAAUAUCUGUGAUUCCAAUUGUGGGCAUGGGAGGUGUCGGCAAAACUACUCUUGUCCAACUUGUGUAUAAUGAUGAAAUAUUGAAGGAUAAGUUUGAUCUGAAGGCAUGGGCUUGCGUGUCAGAUGAAUUUGACGCUGUUGAAGUAACGAAAAACAUUCUGGAGGCAGUUUCUUCUGGUGGAAAGUGUGAUUCUGAAAAUUUUGACAUGCUUCAGGUCAAACUAAAGGAAAGCCUUUCAAACAAGAAAUUUAUGAUAGUUUUGGAUGAUAUUUGGAAUGAAGAUUAUGUAAAAUGGGACAUCCUACGCCGUCCUUUUCUUGCUGGAAAACCUGGAAGCAUAAUCAUCAUUACCACUCGACAAGAAAGGGUGGCCAAAAUCAUGUCCGGAAUGCCAGCAUACCAUCUGAAUUUGUUGUCAGAGGGCGAUGCUUUAUCAUUGUUAGCUCAACAUGUAUUUGGAGUUAAAACUUUUGACGCAUAUCCAGAAUUAAUAGAGAUUGGUAAAUCUAUUGUAAAAAGAUGUAAGAACUUGCCCCUGGCAGUCAAGGCCCUUGGGGGGCUUCUUCGAAGGACAGUAGGUCCGAAAGGAUGGGAAGAGGUGUUGAAAAGUGAGAUCUGGAUGGCUGAAGAAAAGGGUGAAAUUCUUCCGGCUCUAAAACUGAGUUAUCACUAUCUUCCUCCACAAUUGAAAAGAUGCUUUGCUUACUGUGCGCUCUUCCCCAAGGACUAUGAAUUUGAAAAGUUCCAUCUGGUUUACCUUUGGAUGGCUGAAGGUCUUUUGCAGGAAUCAAUGAAAGAUAUGUCUAUUGAAGAAGUAGGCAGUCAAUAUUUUGGUGAACUGCUGGAUGGAUCAUUCUUCCAACAAUCAAGUGCCAAUGCUUCAUGCUUUGUGAUGCACGACCUCUUUAACGAUCUAGCUAUGUCUGUUGCUGGCGAUAAAUGUUUGAGGAUGGAUGAUGCACUGCAGGAAAAUCUUCCUGGUAAGGCUUCUGUCCGUCACUUGUCAUUCAAGCGCAGUUACUAUGAAACUUACCCUAGAUUUAACUUUCUCGACAAAGUUCCAAAAUUGAGAACAUUUUUGCCACUACCGGUUGGGGAGUUUCAUUGCAACUUAUCCCAAAGAAUUUUGCUUCAACUAUUCGCAAAUUCAUGCCGCUUAAGAUUUCUGUCCUUGAAUGGUUAUGAGAUAUACGAGUUGCCAGAUUCUAUCGGUGAUUUAAGACAGUUACGGUACCUAGGCUUAGCUCGAACUCCACUGAAGUGGUUGCCUAAAUCUGUGUGCACUCUUAUCAACUUACAAGUGUUGAUUCUAAGUGGUUGUUGGAGACUUACCAAAUUACCCACAAGCAUGGAAAAUCUUAUUAAUCUUCGGCAUCUGGACAUUUCUGAUACUAGUGAAUUGCAUGAGAUGCCACGGGAAAUUUCUCAACUAACAAGUUUGCGAACGUUAACUAAGAUGACUGCAAGUAAAAAUAAUGGAAUGAGGUUAAAGGAGUUGGGAAAUCUAUCAUUUCUACAAGGUGAUAUUUCUAUUGAGGAAUUGCAAAAUGUUGUGUAUGUUCAAGAAGCAAAGGAUGCAAGGCUAAUGGAUAAGACGAGCCUCAACAAAAUAAGGUUGGCAUGGAGCAAAGACUUUGAUGAUUCUCGAAAUAAGAUUUUAGAAUUGGAUGUGCUUAAUGCAUUAAAGCCCCAUAAAAAUUUAUCAACACUUGAAAUCAUGUACUAUGGGGGUGAGAAUUUCUCUAAUUGGAUUGGAGAUUCAGCAUUUUCUAAGUUAGCAAAGAUAAGCUUCAAAUUUUGUAAAAAUUGCACGAGUUUGCCACCAUUAGGGCAACUACCUUCUCUAAGAGACUUGAGCAUUCGAGGCACUGAUCAAGUAAAAGUGAUUGGAAAAGAAUUUUAUGGAAAUAGAGGCCAUGGAGAAUUACCUUUUCCAUCACUCACUAGUCUGACUUUUGCGGACAUGCCUAACUGGGAGGAAUGGCGUGGAAUAAAAGAUGUUAUCGAACUUCCUCGGCUACACAAACUGAACAUAAGAAGUUGUUCAAAAUUGGUCAGGCUUCCAGAUCUCUUACUGCCAUCCCUUCGUGAAUUAGAAGCUAUAGACUGUAAUAAGGUGGUGCUACAUCAUAUGCAGAAAUUGGAAUCUUUAACUCGAAUACAAUUGACGAACAUUUGUGAAUUAACUUCGGUUAUCAAAGCAUUUGACCAAUUUCCAUCUACGCUUGAAAGAUUGAGAGUAUCAGGAUGUGUGGACCUUGCGACUCUAUUGCCAAGUGAUGAUACCGCACAAAACCUUGUCAGCCUAUGGGAAGUGUAUGUUGAAAGUUGUCCUCGACUAUUGUCCCUUCAAGAGAUUGAUUUUCUUCCUGGUCUUAGGAGUCUUAAAAUAACAAAUUGUGGCGCUUUGGAGUUGUUGUCUAAUAAAAUAUCUUUUCUUGAGAAGUUGGAUAUCAAACACUGUCCAUCAUUAAAGACGGUGAUGAAGCUACAGGAUUGCAGCACCUCGCUCAAUUAUCUGUCUAUUUAUAGUUGGGUGAAUUUGAAUUUGACAAAUUUACUGGGCUCGGGCCACGAUUACACAAGUCUCACUUCAAUAUCCUUAUGGUGUUGUGAUGGUCUAGAGUCAUUUCCCCAUGGAGGCUUGCCCACACCAAAUUUAAGUCGUUUAUCUAUAGGGGGAUGUCGACAUCUCAAAUCUCUACCCGAUCAAAUGAAUCUACUUUCGGCCCUUUUAGACCUGUGGGUAUACAACUGUGCUUCAUUAAUGGAACUCUUUCCCAAACAGAAUAUUCCCCCAAAUCUGUCUCACCUUAAUAUCUCAUAUUGCCAGAAACUACGGCCCCUGGGAGAAUGGGGCCUACACACACUCACCUCUCUUAGUUCCUUUACAUUUAGUGAAUGUCCAGAGCUGGUUUCCCUCACUAACAAUGCUGACGAAGAACACUGUGUGCUUCCUCCAUCUCUAACUGAGUUGUCGUUGUACUACAUGCCGAAUCUGGAAACCCUAUCAAACGGCUUACAAAGUCUCACCUCUCUUCAACAUAUAUAUAUCUACGACUGCCCAAAGCUUGUGGCGUUGCCUUUGGAAGGCCAGCUUCAAAAGCUUUUGAGCCUUAUCAUUAAAGGCUGCCCACGUCUUCAGAAACGGUGUUUGAAGAACAAAGGAGACUACUGGCCCAUCAUUGCUGACAUUCCCGAAGUCGAAAUUGAUUUACGUUCCAUCUACGAUCCAUGUCCAUGAAUUCAGUUACAUGAGGUAAUAGAUUUAAUUUGAUACCUAUGAAUCUCAACGUCAUUUCAUGCUGAACACAUUUCGACAUUUCUGUCAAUUUUGUUUUCAAAUCAGAAUGUGAAUUUUCUGCAGCAAACAAGUGUUCAUGCUACUCUGUAUCUUAUAUUUGUGCUUCUGCUCUGCAGUAUGAAUCAAUAUGAGAGCUGGAUUUACCAACAAUCGAGUAACUAAUUGGCUAUGGCACUAAAAUCAGCCUCUCUUCUCCCCUUGUAUGUGUUCUAUUAAGAGUAAAAUUCUAUCAAAUAGACAAAUUGGAGUGAUAGUUGUUUGUUCAAUUAAUUACCUUCAACUUGGAUAGAAUAUUUGAUUAAGUUAUUAAUAUUUUGCUUCAAUCUGCUUUAGCAAAUUGGAAAUGGAUUGAUACAACUUACUGUAUGUUUAUGCAUUUUUGAAUUUUCAUGUUUACUAUAUGCUUUAACAAACUGGAAAUGGGUGUGCGUUUUUCAAACCUUUUUUGUAGAGUGGACGUUCUUACACUAUUUGAAUGAAACAAAUAAAAAAUUCAUUGUUUUGGUGUAGGCAUUUUCUCAUUACUUGUAAGAACGCAAGAUGGAAUGAAGGUGCCUCUUCUAUGAGGCCUUCAAGUAAGUCUCUUUUUCGAUUUACUUUCUGCAUUUGCAUUUAAGUGUUUGUGUAAAUACCAUAGUGAAAUUAUAUGGUAGGAUCUGUGACUGAAGCUAUGUUCAGACAUAUAACUUUUCUUGCCUUUAUUAUUUCACGAUUUUAGUAAUAUUUUCUGAUUAUUUCCCGGGUUGCAUAGUAAAAUUGAAUUAUUUUAUCAAAAGAUGGAUUUUUAUCAUCUCUUAGCUUCUCUAUUUUUUAUUUUUUUUAAAUAUCUUUAUGGAAUUGUUGUAAUAGUAUUACCUCUUUAUGAUCAUUUGAUUGUUGGAAGAUCAUACAAGGAAUUUCGGGACAAAUGAUUUUUUGUGAAAAAAAAGUUUUGUCUGAGUAGGAAAAGUAUAUCCAUCCGUGUGCGUUUAGAUCUGUUAUUCAUAUUGAUAGAUUAUAUUCCAUAUGUGGAUGCACAUUGCAUAUAGAACAUAUACUCACCUUGGGUUGUUAGGUACCUGUUGUAGCUUUGCACAUCUGCUCUCCGUAAUGUUUAUUGUUGCAACGUUCAUAUGAUCAGAUGGUUAUUGAUGGUGUUAAAUGUUACUCUAAUUGAUUGCUGAAAUUGAUAGGGUUGGGAUGUGACACUGAAUUUCUCCAAGCUGCCGUAAGUUUUCCCUCACUAUUUAUUGGUUAAUUUUUCUUUCACUUUUUCCCCCCUCUUUUUCACAUUUUACUUGAUACUCUCGUUAUAUGUGAUUAAUUUUGCGUUGGUAAUAUUAGGCUUGCUGCGAGGAAGGCCAAGAAGGAAAAGAAAGUGAAAGAUCCAAACAAGCCAAAGAGGCCUCCAAGUGCUUUCUCUGGCCAAAGGUUAAUUAGACCAUUAAUCCAUUCAAUGCUAUUUCUGCUUUCAGGGAAGGGUUCAGGAAACAAUCCAAGAAAAAAAUAGCCGAAUCAAUUGUUGUUGUAAGUUCAUCAUUCUUUUUAAAUUUUCUUUGAAGCUUAAUAUUCAAGCCAGAUAUUUGCACUAGGAGCUUGCAUGAUAAUUUUCUUUAUGAUUUCUUGUUUUCCUUUUGGGAAUAAAUAAUAAUAUAGGUUGGAAAAGUUGGUGGAGCUAAGUGAAAGUCCAUGAGUGAUGAGGUAAAUAUAUGCAAUCUAAGUUAUUAUUUAUAUUUUAUUCCUCAUCUCAAGAAAGUUCCUAAUGUUAUGAAAAUAAGGAAAGCUCCCUCGGUGCAAAAAGACAGAGAAACUAAAGGAGGAAUAUGAGCACAAAUGGCAUACAAUUACAAGAAUUUGACAAUCCAUCUAUGAGAAGCAUAGCCUUAUACAUUGUUUAGUUUAGACUACGAUAUGGAAAUGACUUAUAUCGAACUAUUUUUAUAGGUUGGAGUUGCUAAUGAUGAGUCCAGCAAGUCAAAGUCCAAGGUUAAUGAUGAUGAGGACAAUAAGAGCAAUGGAGAUUUUAGUUGAGAUUAAGCUAUACAACCUUUUUUACUUGAAAUUUGGUGACUGUGUUGACUUAUUAUUUUGUUUUAAUUAAUGUAGGAGGAAGACGAUGUGUAAGGACCAUCACAGAAAAUUGGAUUCUGGAUUCAAGGUGAUAACUAACAAACAAACAAUUUUCCUUCAUUAAUUUGCGUUCUGGCUUCAAAUUUUGUAAAAUGUUUGAAUUCAAAUCGGGUUAAUCGGAUUGGUGAAAUUAGGAUUUCAUGAAGAAUUGUCCUGUAGAAAUUGGGCUUCAUGUUAAUUCUAUUGAAAUCAAUUGAAAUUAAUUAUUGAUAAUAAGACUUUUCUCCUCUUUUUUUGGUUGUGAGUGUUGCUAAGGUGUUUUUUUUUUCUUCUUUAUAGUGAGGGAACAAGCAUCUCUUCCCUUCCAUUAACUCUAGCAAGAAAAAGAGAGGAAACGUAUCUCUUGAUUUUCCUUUUCUGUAUGCAAUUAUUUAGAGGGAAUCGGUGGAGGAAGAGGAGGUCGAGUGUUUGUAGACCCAUGAGCAACAAAGGCAGACUACAAUAAGAAUUUGGUAAGUCCAUCAAUGAAAUACUCUAUUACAAUACACCACGUGCGUUACACGCCAGGAAUUAGUUUGAUAAAUAUUUAAUGUUUUACAGCUAGUAGCUCAUAUAUUGUUAAAUCAUUAAAUCACAUUCCUUUUGUGAAAUCAUUGAAGUUAAAAAAUGGUAGAGAGAAAAAUAUUAAUUUAUUCGUAUCUUAAAUACAUCUUUUGGGGUGCAGGUAAAUUUAAUUUUUCUAUAGACAUGACAUGUAUAAUUUUGAUGGGAUGACGUUAUUAUUAUGCAGAUUUCCAUCUGGUUGACCAUUUCCAAUACAAGUUUGGGGCUCCAAGUUUAGAUACUCAUAGCUCAGUCAUUUACUGGAUCAAGAAAAUUGUUAAUUAUGUCAGUUGCUAUGAGCUUGUGGGUGGACCACCUACAUGGCAGGCUUUGUAUAUAUUUUGUUACAAGCUCCGGUUCACAACUGUUGAUGAUGUGUUGUUUAAAUUAGAUAUGACUUGUACAUGGUUUUUGUUGUUAAGGAGUUGCUGGAAGAGGCCAAACCAACCAUUAUUUAAGAGCAAUCCAAGAAACUACAUUUGUUAAGUGAAGCCAACGCUCUGCUAAAGAAAACAAAAAGAUUAUGAAGAUUGAGGAUGAUCGAGUUCACGUUUCACUUUUUAUCCUUCCAUCCCCAUCUCCUUGAGUAAAGAUCAUUUGUUGUAUUACAUGGCUACCAAAUAUUUCAAACACUCCUGGGAACAUUUUAGACGUAAAAUUCUACAUUAUAUGAG